UACGUAGGGUGCGAGCGUUGUCCGGAAUUAUUGGGCGUAAAGGGCUCGUAGGCGGUUUGUCGCGUCGGGAGUGAAAACCAGGUGCUUAACACCUGGCUUGCUUUCGAUACGGGCAGACUAAAGGCAUGCAGGGGAGAACGGAAUUCCUGGUGUAGCGGUGAAAUGCGCAGAUAUCAGGAGGAACACCGGUGGCGAAGGCGGUUCUCUGGGCAUGUCCUGACGCUGAGGAGCGAAAGUGUGGGGAGCGAACAGG
rnacentral:rRNA from 1 species